UCUUGGAGAUUCUUUUACAUUAUGAAUUCUAGAACAGUGGUAAGUGGUAGCUUCUACAAACAGAAAUUUACUGCCAAUGAAAUUAAAUGUGUGGCUACAACAUCAAACAACCAGAAUUUAAGAAUUAUUACAGAACAGAAUAAAGUGAGGGUCUGAAGAAUUAUCCAUAAAGCAUGAUCCUUUCGUGAGGCCUAAUGGGAGGUGUGUGAGUCAUGGAACUGGAUCUCUCAGUGACAGAUUGAUUAAUGCCCUUUCUUGUUGG
rnacentral:lncRNA from 1 species